AGUGAACGCUGGCGGUAGGCCUAACACAUGCAAGUCGAACGGCAGCACAGUAAGAGCUUGCUCUUACGGGUGGCGAGUGGCGGACGGGUGAGGAAUACAUCGGAAUCUACUUUUUCGUGGGGGAUAACGUAGGGAAACUUACGCUAAUACCGCAUACGACCUACGGGUGAAAGCAGGGGAUCUUCGGACCUUGCGCGAUUGAAUGAGCCGAUGUCGGAUUAGCUAGUUGGCGGGGUAAAGGCCCACCAAGGCGACGAUCCGUAGCUGGUCUGAGAGGAUGAUCAGCCACACUGGAACUGAGACACGGUCCAGACUCCUACGGGAGGUAGCAGUGGGGAAUAUUGGACAAUGGGGGCAAGCCUGAUCCAGCCAUACCGCGUGGGUGAAGAAGGCCUUCGGGUUGUAAAGCCCUUUUGGUGGGAAAGAAAAGCAGCAGGUUAAUACCCCGCUGUUCUGACGGUACCCAAAGAAUAAGCACCGGCUAACUUCGUG
rnacentral:rRNA from 1 species